AGGCAGGAUUGGACAAAUAAAGGAAACAAUGAGCAGCAAAUACAAAAUGAGAACACUCGCAAGGAGCUGCUGCGGCACGCCCAGCUGCUUCCGCCCAGCCUGAUUUAUGCUCACCAGGCCACGCCCCCCCACGGGCACACAUACAACAACAGGAGAGUUGCUGGUGUGUUUUUCAGCUUUUCCCAAUGUGCGAUGAUUAAUGGCAAUUCCAUUCUCAACAGGGAAAAUUUGCUCUACGAAUAAGGAGUAAAACAAACUUGGUUUUGAUUCGGGAAAAAAACGGGUGUGUAUUAGAGAGGAUGGUAAAAUGUUUACUAGCAAAUGAGCGCUUUGAAGGGCAGAGGGAGUUAUUUCACCCUCGCCCACUUUGAACACGGUUCUUUCAACGUGAUAAGGCUGAUUACUGUUUCUGACCUCUGGUGCUCUUCCCAUGCUCGACUUAACUGGAAUUAAAACACUGACCAACAAACACUUUUGUAUGUUUCUCCCCAUGUCAAAUGUGAUCAAAAGGAGAUUCCAACCUGCAGUGGGCUCUAAAGCCGACAUUGAAACAAGAGAAUCUGCUUUCCAAGGAGAUUCUCAAGGUCAACAGUUCCAAAGCAUGACUCUAAUAAUGAGAUACAGGAACAGCAUUCUUCCCCAGUUUGCCCUCUCCCGUUUUCCACCAUUAUUUUUGCCUUUUGUACAGUAUGUGGGCGGCUUCUUUCUCCCUCUCCCUUUCUGUCUGCCCUUUCUCUCCAGGCACACAAAGCCCACGUUGUUUGCUGACACGUUGUGUUGUGAGGAACAAGUGGUGAGUCUCAUGAAAUGCCAACGACACCAUCAAAGAGUCAGGAAAUCAGCA